GGAUGAAGAACGCAGCAAAAUGCGAUAAGUAAUGUGAAUUGCAGAAUUCAGUGAAUCAUCGAAUCUUUGAACGCACAUUGCGCCCGCCAGUAUUCUGGCGGGCAUGCCUGUUCGAGCGUCAUUUCAACCCUCAAGCCCCCGGGUUUGGUGUUGGGGAUCGGGCUGUACUCCAGCCCGGCCCCGAAAUCUAGUGGCGGUCUCGCUGCAGCCUCCAUUGCGUAGUAGCUAACACCUCGCAACUGGAACGCGGCGCGGCCAAGCCGUUAAACCCCCAACUUCUGAAUGUUGACCUCGGAUCAGGUAGGAAUACCCGCUGAACUUAAGCAUAUCAAUAAGCGGAGGA
rnacentral:misc_RNA from 1 species